rnacentral:rRNA from 1 species
CCUACGGGGGGCAUCAGUGGGGAAUAUUGGACAAUGGGGGCAACCCUGAUCCAGCCAUGCCGCGUGUGUGAAGAAGGCCCUCGGGUUGUAAAGCACUUUCAGUGAGGAAGAACGCCUGGUGGUUAAUACCCAUCAGGAAAGACAUCACUCACAGAAGAAGCACCGGCUAACUCCGUGCCAGCAGCCGCGGUAAUACGGAGGGUGCGAGCGUUAAUCGGAAUUACUGGGCGUAAAGCGCGCGUAGGUGGCUUGAUAAGCCGGUUGUGAAAGCCCCGGGCUCAACCUGGGAACGGCAUCCGGAACUGUCAAGCUAGAGUGCAGGAGAGGAAGGUAGAAUUCCCGGUGUAGCGGUGAAAUGCGUAGAGAUCGGGAGGAAUACCAGUGGCGAAGGCGGCCUUCUGGACUGACACUGACACUGAGGUGCGAAAGCGUGGGUAGCAAACAGGAUUAGAUACCCUAGUAGUC